UUUUCACUUAAUAACUGCUUUGCUUGAUCACUUAAAAGAAGCUAAAAGUAAAAUGUUCCAAGCUCUAUUUAUAGUUGCAGCUUCAUAACUUUUUUAUUUAUCCACUAAGUAUUUUUCCUAGUAGUUUCUGAAGUAUGACAUUUUAUCUGAGUUUUCAGUUAUGCGCACUCUGAGUGUUCUGGUGCUGAUCAGUCCCAAGAAGUCCCUGGUACUUCAGAGUGAGGAUCUUCCAUAAAUUCUCACUGAAGAUAUCCCCGCACUUUUUCUAUUAAAGUCUAUAUUCCAAGAUGAGUUUCAUAGCUGCCUCUGCAACUCAUCCUCUGAGCACCGUUAGAAAGAGGAUACAGUAUUGGGAAUGCUGUCCUAGAUCAGAUGAGUCGUCUGUGUGUUUUACACAUGAAGUCCAUUGGAAACUUAAAGUUGAAUGAUUGUUUUAUGAAUAAUUUAAUUUUUGUAAAUUGUUUAGCCAAAUAAAUUUUAGGAAACACUG